rnacentral:rRNA from 1 species
AACGAACGCUGGCGGCGUGCCUAACACAUGCAAGUCGAGCGAGAAAGCCCGCAAGGGUGAGUAAAGCGGCGCACGGGUGCGUAACACGUGGGUAAUCUGCCCUGGAGUCCGGAAUAACUCGCCGAAAGGCGUGCUAAUGCCGGAUAAGACCACGGGAGCUUCGGCUCCUGAGGAAAAAGGUGGCCUCUGUACACAAGCUAUCACUCCAGGAUGAGCCCGCGGCCCAUCAGCUAGUUGGCGGGGUAAAGGCCCACCAAGGCAACGACGGGUAGCUGGUCUGAGAGGACGAUCAGCCACACUGGAACUGAGACACGGUCCAGACUCCUACGGGAGGCAGCAGUGGGGAAUCUUGCGCAAUGGGCGAAAGCCUGACGCAGCAACGCCGCGUGUGUGAUGAAGGUCUUCGGAUCGUAAAGCACUGUCGCGAGGGACGAAUAAGGGCCGGGUGAACAAUCCGGUCCGAUGACGGUACCUCGAGAGGAAGCACCGGCUAACUCUGUGCCAGCCGCCGCCGUAAAAC